UUCAUGUCCCCAUCUUCCAGGAAGAUCAAAGAGAGGUGCUGAGCUCAGAGAGAUGUGGUCCCUGGUGCCUCUGUGACCGGCUCUGGAUCCACUUCUGGGAAGCCCACUCCCAGAGACCAGAGAAGUCUUGCUUCUCCAGCAUGUUCAUGACGUCACUGCAGGAUGUCCUGUUGUAAAGACAGACUCUGGGCUGGGGGUGCAGCUCCAUGAAAGCCCUUGCCCAGCUCCGGGCCUGGGUCUCCCCCAGCACCACAGAGUCCAGGAGGAGAGACUGGACCAGGGGCCUUACUGGGCACAACGGAACACCAGGAGGCGCGUGGAGCAGCCAGAGUUUCUAGACCCCCCUCAGUCCUAUCCGUCACCGACGUGAGUGUUCCAGAAAUGGCACGAGAUUCCUCGAGCUGAUGUGUCCUGCUGGGAAGUCAGCAUCCAUCGGCUGUACGCUGCAGAAGCAACCAGAUUCCCAUCCCAAAGACUUGGAAAGCAGCUGUGAUACCAAACUGCAAAGUAUUCCCUGAAAAAAGACGGGGAAGUAGAGGUUUCGGAUGAUUUUUGAAUCCUGCCAUUGGAGUGAGCGAGGGUUGCUGACGCUGUGACAGAACCACAGUCCCUAUGGCAAGGAAAACAGGAACCAGCCAUGUGGGAUGAAUUAACUGAUGAGAUUAAUUAGAAUUUUUAUAACUUUUCGUUUGAAACACUGUAGCUCUUGAAGUCUUGCUGUUUAGAGUUAAGGGAACUUGCGUUUUCAGCUGUUGGUAAAAUAACUCGCAGCAAUUUGAUAAAAUACUCUUUUGUAAAAUAAAGGGAACACCCGUAUUUUUCUCCCCACCCCAUUGCAGAGGAUCGGAUCAUCAUCUCCAGGCUGUGGUGACAUCCGUACUUGACGGCUUCCCAGCCUGGACUGGGGUUACAGGUCUCACCUGAGGCUGCUCAUCACCACCUUUGAGAACCACUUGGAGAGCCAAGGCUGACUAGCCCCAGGUCCUGAAAGCCUCUGGGUGUGACCCAAGCCUGGACCAUGGGGGCAAAGGUGCGACCGCUCCUGGGCGCUUUGCACAGGUUUAGUGAACCUGGACUUUGCAAAAG
rnacentral:lncRNA from 1 species